AUGAUACGCGAGGAACCUUACCAGGGCUUAAAUGUGGUCUGACAGCUUUAGAGAUAGAGUUUUCUUCGGACAGAUCACAAGGUGCUGCAUGGUUGUCGUCAGCUCGUGCCGUGAGGUGUCAGGUUAAGUCCUAUAACGAGCGCAACCCCUACCGUUAGUUGCUAGCAGGUCAUGCUGAGGACUCUAACGGGACUGCCUACGCAAGUAGAGAGGAAGGUGGGGAUGACGUCAAAUCAUCACGGCCCUUACGUCCUGGGCUACACACGUGCUACAAUGGUAUGGACAAUGAGCAGCCAUCUGGCAACAGAGAGCGAAUCUAUAAACCAUAUCACAGUUCGGAUCGGAGUCUGCAACUCGACUCCGUGAAGUCGGAAUCGCUAGUAAUCGUAGAUCAGAAUGCUACGGUGAAUACGUUCCCGGGCCUUGUACACACCGCCCGUCACA
rnacentral:rRNA from 1 species